rnacentral:rRNA from 2 species
CAAUGCGGAGGAAAAGAAACCAACAGGGACUGCUCAGUACGGCGAGUGAAGCGGCAAAAGCUCAAAUUUGAAAUCCCCCGGGAAUUGUAAUUUGAAGAGAUUUGGGUCCGGCCGGCGGGGGUUAAGUCCACUGGAAAGUGGCGCCACAGAGGGUGACAGCCCCGUGAACCCCUUUAACGCCCUCAUCCCAGAUCUCCAAGAGUCGAGUUGUUUGGGAAUGCAGCUCUAAGUGGGUGGUAAAUUCCAUCUAAAGCUAAAUACCGGCGAGAGACCGAUAGCGAACAAGUACAGUGAUGGAAAGAUGAAAAGCACUUUGAAAAGAGAGUGAAAAAGUACGUGAAAUUGUUGAAAGGGAAGGGCUUGCAAGCAGACACUUAACUGGGCCAGCAUCGGGGCGGCGGGAAGCAAAACCACCGGGGAAUGUACCUUUCGAGGAUUAUAACCCCGGUCCUUAUUUCCUUACUGCCCCGAGGCCUGCAAUCUAAGGAUGCUGGCGUAAUGGUU